ACUCGGGGGGUGCCCUUCGGAAUCCUGCAGGAUUGCGCAUGAGGCUGAGAUUAUACCCAUUGACCUGAAGCAGAUAAUGCUGCCGUAGGAAAUGAGUC
rnacentral:ncRNA from 1 species